rnacentral:rRNA from 1 species
GAUGAUCGCUGGCGGCGUGCCUAAUACAUGCAAGUCGAGCGAACGGACGAGAAGCUUGUUCCUCUGAUGUUAGCGGCGGACGGGUGAGUAACACGUGGAUAACCUACCUAUAAGACUGGGAUAACUUCGGGAAACCAGAGCUAAUACCGGAUGAUAUUUUGAACCGCAUGGUUCAAGAGUGAAAGACGGUCUUGCUGUCACUUAUAGAUGUAUCCGCGUUGCAUUAGCUAGUUGGUAAGGUAACGGCUUACCAAGGCAACGAUGCAUAGCCGACCUGAGAGGGUGAUCGGCCACACUGGAACUGAGACACGGUCCAGACUCCUACGGGAGGCAGCAGUAGGGAAUCUUGGGCAAUGGGCGAAAGCCUGACGGAGAAACGCCGCGUGAGUGAGGAAGGUCUUCGGAUCGUAAAACUCUGUUAUUAGGGAAGAAGAUAGGUGGAAGUAACUGCGCAUAUCGUGACGGUACCUAAUCAGAAAGCCACGGCUAACUACGUG